CGGGCUGUAGCGCAGUUGGCUAGCGCGCGUCGUUCGGGACGACGAGGCCGCGGGUUCAAGUCCCGCCAGCCCGACCA
rnacentral:tRNA from 1 species